UACGUAGGGUGCAAGCGUUGUCCGGAAUUAUUGGGCGUAAAGAGCUCGUAGGCGGUUUGUCGCGUCGGCUGUGAAAAUCCGGGGCUCAACCCCGGACUUGCAGUGGGUACGGGCAGACUAGAGUGUGGUAGGGGAGACUGGAAUUCCUGGUGUAGCGGUGAAAUGCGCAGAGUAUCGGGAAGAACACCCGUGGCGAAGGCGGCUCUCUGGGACGGUACUGACGCUGAGACGGCGAAAGCGUGGGGAGCGAACAGG
rnacentral:rRNA from 1 species